rnacentral:rRNA from 1 species
GACGUAGGGCGCGAGCGUUGUCCGGAUUUAUUGGGCGUAAAGAGCUCGUAGGCGGCUUGUCGCGUCGUCCGUGAAAACCCACGGCUUAACUGUGGGCUUGCGGUCGAUACGGGCAGGCUGGAGUUCGGUAGGGGAGACUGGAAUUCCUGGUGUAGCGGUGAAAUGCGCAGAUAUCAGGAGGAACACCGGUGGCGAAGGCGACUUCCUGGCCUGUUCUUGACGCUGAGGCGCGAAAGCUAGGGGAGCAAACGGG